rnacentral:rRNA from 1 species
GUGCCAGCAGCCGCGGUAAUACGGAGGGUGCAAGCGUUAUCCGGAUUCACUGGGUUUAAAGGGUGCGUAGGCGGGCAUGUAAGUCAGUGGUGAAAUCUCAGAGCUUAACUCUGAAACUGCCAUUGAUACUAUGUGUCUUGAAUUUCCUGGAGGUUAGCGGAAUAUGUCAUGUAGCGGUGAAAUGCUUAGAUAUGACAUAGAACACCGAUUGCGAAGGCAGCUGACUACGGGUAGAUUGACGCUGAGGCACGAAAGCGUGGGGAUCAAACAGGAUUAGAUACCCUCGUAGUCC